AAGACUGAACAUGGAUAGUGGCUGUUGAAAGAGAUGCUACGAUGUAUGUUCCUCUGCU
ensembl:miRNA